UAGUCAAAGACAUUGGCUUGCAAAGCACCUACCACAGAAGGGCAGUGUGUUUUAAGCUUUGGCGUACAUAAAAAUAGAACUUAAAAAUAGGUGUAUUUGGAAAGAAAGUUGAAGGAGAAAGAAGAGUAGAGAUUUACAAUAAGAAGCGUGAGGCAAUAAUUUCAUCAUACUUCAUCUAAUUUCUUUGGCUGAGUCCUAUGCUGAACAUUAGAACUGGGUGACCUGGAAGGAGACAUAAUGACCUGAAGGCAACAAAUAUAAAAGGAAACUGAAGAUCAAACAAAUUAAGUACCUUCUCUAAGGUCUCAAAGAUAGUCCUGGAGCUGGGGUUUACACACAGUUCAGUCUGACACCCGAACUGAAGACUCUCUCUCCUUUACUCCAUGCCAUUUAGUCGUGAUCCGAACUUGGCCUCCAGUACCACAUGAAGCUUCAGCUCUCCACCAAGCUUGCAAGCAAGGCAAGUCAACCGUGGAAUUUCCUGAGCUGCUAUUUGCUUCACGGUCUUGCACUCUGGCUCCAUACUCAAAUAAGAAGUCUGGAUGUAACCCUGGCCGGGAAUGACCGUCAUUACUUGGCUUCUGUGAGUCAUUCUCUGAAGAAGGAAGCCCCAGGUCUAAGAAGUUCUGACUCAACAUUCCUUCCCUGAUAACUUGAAAAUAUGCUACAGUUCCAAAGAAUGGGGGCCAGCCUCUGACUACUCUGAAAUGUCUCAAGAACUGUGGAAUGCUUUUGGUUUACAGAUGAGUUUGGUAAAACAUCUGAAAAUACUUCAAGCUCCUAAACAAAUAUCCCCUCUAUGGACACGUCUGCGAUUGUUUUAGAUCCAUAAGGCACAUAGUCAUUUCCAUCAGGAGAAAGAAGGGAAAAUAAAAACAAUUAAGCAGUU